rnacentral:tRNA from 1 species
GUAUAUAUAAUUUAAAUAAAAUAUUAAACUGUGACUUUAAUUAUGAGAGUU